AUGGACGCCAGGACGCCCCGCCACCAAAGGCUGCUCCGCACCCCGCGCGGCCCACCGACGCCCCAUCACCCCCGCCACCACCCCGGCACGCCCGGCCAAAACCCUAUCCGCUACGUCCCUGCCGCCGCCCCGAUCUCCCCGCGCUCCGCUGCCGCCGCCGUCGCCGCCAUGGAGGACGACGCCAUCACCACGCUCAUGGACAUCGACGACUCCCCCCGCAGCGCCGCCGGCGCAGGCUUCCUCGACGACGACGACGAGGGGGACCUCCUCCACUCCCACCGCAUGGGCGGCCGCGGGAACGAGGCCCGGGGCCCCCUCCCCUUCGCCGGCUUCUUCAACACCUUCGACGGCGCCGACUUCGACGACUCCGAUCUGGCCUGA
rnacentral:rRNA from 1 species